rfam:Aedes albopictus isolate Foshan contig33404, whole genome shotgun sequence.
UGUUUUGUGGUUUAGUUGGUUAAAGCGCUGGUCUAGUGGAUACGGAGUCGUGGGUUCGAAUCCCACCAGAACGU